rnacentral:rRNA from 1 species
GGGGAAUAUUGCACAAUGGGGGGAACCCUGAUGCAGCGACGCCGCGUGAGUGAAGAAGUAUUUCGGUAUGUAAAGCUCUAUCAGCAGGGAAGAUAAUGACGGUACCUGACUAAGAAGCCCCGGCUAACUACGUGCCAGCAGCCGCGGUAAUACGUAGGGGGCAAGCGUUAUCCGGAUUUACUGGGUGUAAAGGGAGCGUAGGUGGUUCGGCAGGUCAGAUGUGAAAGCCCGGGGCUCAACCUCGGGACUGCAUUUGAAACUGUCGGACUAGAGUGCAGGAGAGGUAAGUGGAAUUCCUAGUGUAGCGGUGAAAUGCGUAGAUAUUAGGAGGAACACCAGUGGCGAAGGCGGCUUACUGGACUGUAACUGACACUGAGGCUCGAAAGCGUGGGGAGCAAAC